GAUGAACGCUGGCGGCGUGCCUAAUACAUGCAAGUCGAGCGAACAGACGAGGAGCUUGCUCCUCUGACGUUAGCGGCGGACGGGUGAGUAACACGUGGAUAACCUACCUAUAAGACUGGGAUAACUUCGGGAAACCGGAGCUAAUACCGGAUAAUAUAUUGAACCGCAUGGUUCAAUAGUGAAAGACGGUUUUGCUGUCACUUAUAGAUGGAUCCGCGCCGCAUUAGCUAGUUGGUAAGGUAACGGCUUACCAAGGCAACGAUGCGUAGCCGACCUGAGAGGGUGAUCGGCCACACUGGAACUGAGACACGGUCCAGACUCCUACGGGAGGCAGCAGUAGGGAAUCUUCCGCAAAGGGCGAAAGCCUGACGGAGCAACCCCGCGUGAGUGAUGAAGGUCUUCGGAUCGUAAAACUCUGUUAUUAGGGAAGAACAAAUGUGUAAGUAACUAUGCACGUCUUGACGGUACCUAAUCAGAAAGCCACGGCUAACUACGUG
rnacentral:rRNA from 1 species